CACAAAAGAAGAGGCAGAAGUCAGAAGUGGGCAGACACUGAACUCCAAGACACGGGGGAGGGGGGGCGCGCUAAAAACAGGUUUGGCUCAGUUCCCACUGAAAGUUCUGGAGACGCUAACAUUGUUCCUUCUCCAGGCAGGCCCCCACGUGACUUCUCCAAGCUCAGUUUCCUAAUGUGGAGGUACUUUUCUUCGGUCUCAUAUAGUCCAGGUUAGCCUCACACUCGCUGUGUGCCAAAGCUAGCUUGGGUUCCUGAUUCUCCCGGCCUUAGCCUCUUGAGAACUGCAAUACAGGUGUGGUUUUUCUACAUAUACACGCCCAAGAUCAUACCAAGAGUGAAGACAAGCUGCAGAAGCAGGUGGAUGGAUCGUGUGAAUUCCAGGAUAGCCUGAGCUACAGAGAACAGAAAUCCUACCUUAAAAAACUCAAAAACAGACAGAAAGGAAGGAGGGAGGGAAAGAAGGAAGGAGUCCCAGAGCAGGAUUUACUAAGAGUCUGGGCUGUGGAGUUAGAGAUAGCUGAGCUCACAGCCAGCGCCACCAAUUAAAAGUUCUGUGACUGUGGGUAGGAGCUAAAGCCUGUUUACUCAUUGAAGUUUUGUUGUUGUUGUGUGUGAGACAGGGCCUCACCACAGAACUCUGGCUGGCCUUGAAGAGAUUCACUUGUGUUUACCCCCCAGGUAUGAGAUUUAAAGGCACCUGCCAAGGCACCUAGCUUCCUUUACUCAUUAGUGUGAAAGGGAUACUAGAAGGCCAGACAUGGCGGCCCACACCCAUAACCAACACCUAAGAGACUAACACAGGAAGAUCUUGAGUUCAAGGUUAGCCCGAGCUGCAGCAGGACUGGCUCAAAACACCAACCAGGGCUGGGAUCUAUUUCGUUUAGUAUAGUUAGAUAUAUUUGCCCAACAUAUAUGAAGCCCUGGGUUUGAUUCCCAACAUGGCAUAAACCAGGUGCGAUUGUAGCCUGUCACCCUAGUACUCAUGAGCAGAGCCGGUGACAGGAGAUUCUGCUUUAAAAAACACACAAGCAAAGGAGGGGGCAAUGGGACUACCCUCCUAGGUUUGUUGCUGGAUCCAGUGUUUAAGACAGAAAGGUUGAACACAGAUGUGUAAUACAUUAAAAAAUGGAUUCACUUUUAUUAUUUUCCCGGGGCCAGACGGGCUCUCUAAACCUCAGUUUCCAAAUGUUGUAAUAAUGGGCACAGCACCACACAGGUGUGAAACACUGCUUCUAUUUCUUUUACUCCACCCCUCUUCCCAACCCCACUCAUCCAUUCUGCUCCUAGGAGAGACGAGCUGAUGAGGAAGCCAGCCUGAACGAAGGAAUGAAGAACUCACCCAGCACAAUGCCAUCUGUGUUUGGUGGAAACACUGCCUGCCUUCCAGGGGCUUCGAAACUCCCCAGACCCCACAACCACUAAGGUACCUCUUUUUGCUAGAGAGUUCUGAUCAGGUGUGUGGAACUUAUUGUCUCUAUCCAGACCACCAGUGUGCACCCCCCUCCCCCCGAUCUACAGCUCUGUUGCUAUAAGGGAUGAGCCAAGACAAGGCUGGCUUAGGUCAUUCCCAGAACCCUGGGCCAUUAGGUUGCCUGCCUCACAGAGGUCAGGGGUAGGGCUGGGGUGCUAAAUUGCCCCCUAAGUCUCCUCCUCUGUGUCCUCUGUGUGCCACCUGUCGCCUCCCACAGCCGCAGGAGCCAGGCAGACAGAAAGCCCCUUUCCCAUGUACUCUGUUAGCUUUCCUCUCCAGUAGGGACACAUUGGCAUUCUGCUCAGCCUCAGCUGCUGUCUGCCGGGCAAUCAGCCCCAGGGAUGACUUUUGUCCUCUGGUUGGACUUGCCAGGAUACCCCAGAGAGCCAGGGACACCAGGUGGGUUCCUGCAGGGAAAGGGAAGCAGGCACCCCAUCUUGGUGGUUAGGCCAGCAGCAUAAAAGAGAGUGAGGGCUAAGGGCUCGGGACACCAGAUCUGGACCACAACAGUCUUGGGGUAGGUAAGCCACUGCGCCAGUGAGCUGACAGAUGUAGACAACUGGGGUAGUAAGGAAAAGGGAGCAGGGGUGCUGCAGGGAUGGAUGUCAGCUCUCUACAGUUAGGGUGACAAGCACGACCAAUUGCAGAGAUGAAAAAAGGACUGAUGUGUGGGGUGCCAGGCUCAGCGAGCACUGGAGAAGCCUCAUCCCAGAAGCUGGCUCCACUGCAGUUGAAGGACAGUUGCCAAGAGGAAGAAUCUUCUGAGGGAACUACUGGAGAGAGAGGGUGGGCUGCUGCAAACUACUUGGCAUGCUGACAGUGAUGAACCCAGCUUUGCCUGCUCCCCUCAAAGGUCCAGAGCACAAAUUCUGCAUAAAUCCCCUUCACUCCCACCCCCACCAGCCCUUAGCCAUUGCCAGUGACCCUCUACAAGCCAGGUCUCCAUGGUGAUCUCAGCCCAGCAGGCGGUUCCUGCCAGAACCUUCCCAUGGUGCCUGCGGCCAGGCAGCAGGAGGCUUUCUCACCCUCUUGCUAAGCUGCCCAGAGCACCUUACCUCUCCUCCCACCUUCCCCUCCCAGCUUCCGGGACUUAGCCAGCCAGGGGCUCAGGCAGAAUCUGGGGGAGGAUGGUGGGUGGGGAAGAAUCACAGGCUGGGGGUGUUCUUGGUGAAGGGAGAAUGCUAUGCUGGAUAGAACACAGACCUAGCGAGGCUCAACUCUCGAAAACUGAACCAAAUACUAAGGUGUCAGGCAACCCAGCUCAGGGACUAGGAACAAGGCAGAGAAGGUAAGCACUCUGGAUCCACCCUAAAAGCCUGCCGGAGUGGAGAGAGAGCAAAGCAGACAGAUCCUAACCAUGCAGUCUCCAUGCAGGUAGGUGGUUGUGCCAAGGGAAGUCCUGAGGGGCUCAGGAAGAGGAGGAACAUUCAGUCCAGUCUGGGAAGUAAGGCUAUAGCUCUAAAUUAACCACUAAGUACAGAGCUCAGCGUGCCGGGAAGGCGCAUGCGUGCAGACAGCACCAUGACUGAUCUAAGGCCGGUCAGCAUGUCAGAGUGUCCCACUCAGCUCUUUCUCAUACACCUCUAGGAUGCCUCCUUAGAAUGCCUUGUUACCAUAGCUGCCAGUGCACUUGCCAUUCUCUACUUGGCUCUUCUAGAGCACAGACCUGUGUGUGGUACCUCUGAACCCUGAGUUCCAGCAUGCACCCGACCCCAGGACGCCAACCACUUUUACUCAGACUUAACCUGAGUGCCUCCAUGAGGAACCCGAGUCACAUUCACUGCGCCCUCCGGCUAUUGCAGGUUUAGCAACUGAGGUGCCAGGGACUUCAGUGGUCUCUGCCUGGGCAGAGAUAACACAGACACCAGGCUGCCCAGAGAGAGCCUUCCUCCCUAUAAACAGAGCAUCCACUGGCCUCCAUCAGAGCAGCCUUCUUUCACACCCACUUCCUGCUAGGGUGUGUGCUCAGGCUCCACCUCCACUCCCCUGCUCUCCCCUCUUCCCUCUCUAGGCUUCACUUUUCUUUCUGCAAAGUAAAGGGUUUGAACAGGUGACGAGAGAGCUUUAGGUGUCCCCGAUGUGCGGGGUCAAAGGACAAAUCAACUGCCCGAAGACUAGGCUACUUCUCUGCCAUUUUCAGGUUAUCAAGCCUAUGAGGUACCUAAAUGUACAGGCUAUUUCUGUGGGGCUUUAACUACACCUGAUAGGUAGAAAUACCACUAGAGGUUCAGUGAAGGAUCAUAGGGUUCCCAAUUGGAACCAAAGAGGCCAGGGGUGUGGGGCAGCUCGUCCACUUUCCAAAGUAUGUGCCUUGACCUUUGGCUCUGGGAGCCCCCUCUGUUGCUAGACACCGAGACCUACAGUACCUGGUAGCGGGACCAGAAGGGCUUCUUACCUGCAGAUACCCACCGAUCUGCUGUGACCACACCUCCCACCCCCCAUUCUAUUUUGUCCCAAGAAAACAAGUUCUCCCCAUAUAUACAUUUGUACACUUUUACACUUCUGUGUCAAAGUGUGUCUCCACCCUCUGUGCAGGAAAUGACCUAUGUGAGGACAGACAUCAUGGAUGAUGCAGACACACAGACAAAGUGGAUAAUGAAGGCAGAGUAACUCCCAAGAGUCUCUCUCUCGUCACUCAGUGUUUCUGCUUGGAGGCCUCUCUGGAAGUCACCUCGUCUGGAGCUGACAGGUUCACAGACACACCCUUCAAUACAUUGCUUUUCGGGUUACUUCCUGCAGAUUUGGGGACCUUCAGCCCUCCUGUUCUUUUGUGGAGACAGGGUCGCUCUAUGUAGCCACAUGCUUCUACCUCCUGAAUGCUGGAAUUGAAGGCAUGCAUCAACCACCAUGCUCAGCUGACCUUUCCUCUCUUAGUUCUUCUGGUGAAGAUGGAUCACUGAGGAGAAGCGUUAACUGCUAAACCUAAUGUCCUGAGUUUGAUCCUAGAACCCACAUGGUAAAAGAGGAAGGACUCCUAAAAGUUGUCCCCUGACCUCCACACACUUGAUACACACACACACACACACACACACACACACACACACACACACACCUGAAAUAUCCCCCUCCCAAAUGGUGAGACACUGGAGUUGGGGAGUCAAUGCGAAGAUGAGCAGGUAGCCUAAAGGAACAGAUGGCAUGCUGGGACAUUCCCAGAAAGGGCUUGUCAAGGAUGCAGAAAGAGCUGGAGAUUAAUUGUGCCUGGGAAGGAUCAGGGAACACUUCUUGGAGGAGGUGACGCCUGAGUGAAAGACUGGCAGUGACAGGUGGGAGACCACAGUGGAUAGCAGAGGGCAACCAGGCCAGGGCAAAGCAAAGGGCGCAUCCUGCAGAGAACUCUCUGAAAGGAGUGGAUGCCAGGACAGAGGCCUGAAUGUCUUCCGCACCAUGCCGGGCAGUCGGGCUUGUGUUCUGCAGACAGUCGUGCCGGAGAGGAAGGAUACAAUCAAAAGGUGUGAAGCGGCUCGCAAGAGCAGAUGUGCUUUAAUCAAUUCACCCAAUAAAUAUUUUAGGGGCCUCCAGACACCGUGCAUCUAAAAAUGCUGAACAACAAGCACUUUGGCGGCCACCACGGACAGAAUGGACUGGGGUGGGGGUGGGCCAGAGACCCAGCUGGCUGAGUGGGCCGCUAGCUGCUAAGUCUCUCAUCUGCUCGGAUCAUUUCCAGCUCCAGGAAGUCCCCGCUGCCCUCCUUAUGUAGCUCAGAAGGGCUGGCAUGGAGGAUCCUCCCUGCUGCUGGAGGAGCUGAGGCCCCCUCCCCUAGACAUGGUACUCAAGUAGAGGUCUGGAACAAGCCCAUUAGGCCCGUGGGUUAGUGCUAUCUGGAGCAUGGGAUACUGGCCAGGGCAGAGUGGGCUGCUACUUCAUGCGGACUGGACAGACUUCAUCUACUUCCCCAACCCCCAGCAGCACAGGCACCAUGGCACCAAAGAGGACAGUGGCAAGGCAGACAGUGCUAUCCAGGGAAAUGAAAACACACUCUAAAGUUACAAGGAAGGUUUCUCAGAUGCUUUGUGUUUGGGGAGAAGACGGGCUCUAGCCGACCCGGGUGAUUUUCCAAAGUCCUUUGGAGUAGCGCUUCCUCCAUCCCAGCGCCCCUACAUCUCCCCUAGACUUGGUCCAGUGGCUAACAUAAAGAACACUGGGACUAUCCUGUCCCUCACUCCCCAGGACUGGGGAUGGAAUCGAGGGUCUUGUGCACAGUAGGCAAGCACCCUUCAUACUCAGCUACUACGUCUCCAGCCCCAGAGAAAUUUCCAGGCUUCCAAAUGCUCCAGGCCCACAGCAGAAUACAAGACCCUUAGAGGACAGCAGACAAACAGAUGCAGGAGGGUUAUCUUUGGUCAAGCAAAGGUCAUGAACAGGGGUUGGAGAUGUGUGACUCACGCAGAUUGCACUGAAGACCCAGAAUUCAGAGUAUGGGAAGGCAUUCAUCCACCCAUCUACCAGCCAACUAGGUGCUUUCCUGUGGGCCAGGACAGGGAUAAGAGCUUUACAUGUCAAUCCCCUUAAUUCUUACAGAUAGAGAUGAUGUGACUCACUAGGUUACGUGAGUCACCAGAUCACCUAGCUGGUGAGGGGCCUGUGUGACCACAGACGUGCACUCCUAGCCACUGCCUGCCAGUUUGGAGCUCUGCUUUUACCAGGGAUGUGAGGUACAGGGAGAGGAGGAGCAGAAGGUAUGUUCAUAGAGAGAUGGUAUUUCCAAGGAGCGGGGGCUCUGAACAAGAAGGCCUGGCCUAAAUAUGGCUACAGGGAACGCAAGCAGAACUGGAGGAUGACCUCAGAAAGGCGAGAAAACCUGGAGCUCAGAGGAAGCAGGGCAGGACCGGCUGAGCCCUGACAUGAGGCCUCUUGCUCAGAGCCAGAGGCAAGAUCAAGUGACCUCUUAAGGAUUCAAGACUCAGAGAGACAAAGCCCAGAGCAGUCGGGCCUGGCCCAGGCCUGGGCAUGCCUGCUGACCCUGGCUGGAUGGUGGCGUUGGAAACUGCCUCCUGUUCCCGUCAGGCCCCAGCUGGUGUAACCUGGGAGGACCUGUGACAUUUCUCUUGGCCUCAGUUUUAGAGCCAAGAGCUAACAGGGAGGGGGAAGGAUUAGAGAUUCCUGAAUAUCUGUGGGCCCUUCCCACCUUCUCACCUCUGUUCUUGGGGUCUGGUGUGGUUGAUCUUUGGUUCAAGGGUCCCAACAUGGAGCCAGUUUGUCUGGCUCUGCUCUUCAUUAGAAAGGAUGCCUGUAUGCGCCCAAGGCCCCCCUCCUUUGGCCCACCCCUAACUGCCUAUCAGCUACAGCACUCAAGAGAGCCGGGACACACAUUUCCCACUGUCUCAUCUGACCUUUCACCUCCCGGCUCUCACUGGGAUGAAACCCGCUUUUGCCCCGAGUCCCCACUGCCUGCAGCGCCCCUCCCUGGCUCCACAUCUUGUGGCUUCUUCAAGCUAAGCGCAGCUUCCUAGCACAAAUCCACAAAAUUCAUUUAAAAUGCUAGUCCUCUGGAUACAGUGGUACAUGCUUGUAAUUCCAGCACUCAGCGGGCUGAGGCAGGAGGAAGCAAGUUCCAGGUCAGCCCCACCUAUAGUGAGUUAGUUCCAGGUUAGCUAGUGCUACAAUAUAGCAAGGCCUUAUCUCACAAAAACCCUUGACUCCCCAAAACAAAACUCAGCACCCCCCAAAGAACCAUAGGUUCACCUAAUGUGACCCAUCAUUUUGUAGCCGGAGAUGUGGGUGAAGAGUGGCAAACUUUGAAAGUCACAGGUGGAUCCAUGUUUGACAAACUACAGAUUCCUGGGCAGAUCUCAGUUGUGCCUGUUCCCUUACCUCUAGUGAAAGCCAAGAACAUACUCCCUGCCCAAGAUGCUGUGUCACACAAAGGAACAGCACAUAUCUGAACAGAGGAAUGACCUCUGAGCACAGCAUCCGGUGCUUGGUGUGCACUCUUAGCUUCUCCCUGCCUCUGGGCACCUGCCAUUUCCUACCCAGAGUUUCCAGGCUCUCUGUGUGCUUGUUUGAACUUCCUGGGAUAGAUGCUGAUCUCUAGACAGGAGCCAUGUCUGCUUUGUCUCCUCAGUGCCUGUCCCAGGGUUAGCGCGAAAAGGCUCAAGAUGAGCAGCUGAACUGAAUUACCACUUCACCAGUGCCCGGGAUUAAAGCUGAUCACUACCUGUUGCCCCUGACCCAAGUCCAGAUGGCUGGCAGGUCUUCAAUCAAGUAUACACAGCGAACUCCUUUUGACAGCAUCCCUGUUGUCUCGGAGAAGGAGGCCUAGCAGGAGGACAAGACCCAACAGAGACGUUGAGGGGAAAAGAAUGACAAGAAUGUAGAAAGGACCCAGACGGUGGCGGCGCACACCUUUAACCCCAGCACUCGGGAGGCAGAGGCAGGCAGAUCUCUGAGUUCAAGGCCUGGUCUACAGAGUGAGUCCCAGGUGCCCAGGGCUGUACAGAGAGUCUCUGACG